rnacentral:rRNA from 1 species
UCCGUAGGUGAACCUGCGGAAGGAUCAUUAACGAGUUUACUGAGUUGUCGCUGCCCUCUCGGGGGGAUGUGCACGCUCUUUCACUCAUCUAUACACCUGUGCACCUAUGCGAGUCAAUGGGGGAUUAGCGAAAGAGACCUGCAAAGGUUUCGACUAGCGUUCUCUGUCGGCUCGAUUUUUUAUAAACUCUUGUAUGUCUUAGAAUGUCUACUUUGCUUAACGCAAUAAAUACAACUUUCAACAACGGAUCUCUUGGCUCUCGCAUCGAUGAAGAACGCAGCGAAAUGCGAUAAGUAAUGUGAAUUGCAGAAUUCAGUGAAUCAUCGAAUCUUUGAACGCACCUUGCGCUCCCUGGUAUUCCGGGGAGCAUGCCUGUUUGAGUGUCAUGAAUCUCUCAACCUAUUAGAUUGCAAAAUCGAAGUAGUGUUGGAUUUGGAGGCUUGCUGGCCUAGUCAGCUCCUCUCAAAUGCAUUAGCUAUGGAUCGCGCGGGCAAUUAGAUCUACGGGGGUGGUGGAUACAUGGUCUUACCUAUGGGAUCGGAAAGGCUA